ACCACCAAACUGAUCAAACCGAUCGAAUCCUGCGCACUGCCGUCUCCUCACUUAUUCAUUUUUGUCUUUUUCAAAAUCUUGGGGUUCCUUUCCACGGGCAACGAAUUGCUCUGGACUUUGGUGAUGCGUCGAGUUCCUGUUUGCUCCGUCUCGCUCGUAUCGAGUUCGUGAUCACGGCCCGGGGGUGUUGUUCGGGACCCACUUACCGGAGAUGUUGGAUUUAUGGGACUAGUAGCAGUAGGAGUAUGAGCCUAUGAGGUCAUCAUGGCACCAUCAAUAAUAUCUUUAGCAUUACCGAGCAUAAAGAAAUGGCAUGCACAUGGUAUUCAAUGUAUUUGUACUUUGUUUUGUUCACAUCGGUUUGGAAGGCUGAAACAAGUUUUGCUCAGAUUCAAUGCCUGUCGCCACAAAUUGCCAAUCUCAUUAUCUCAUAGGUAGAAGUCUCAACCACCAAUCCAAAAUUUUGAACUGUUUCUUUGUGUUUUUCUUAUUUCCUAAAAUAGCUUGCUCACUUCACUACAAUGUUGCAACUGUUUCAAAUAAAUCGAUUCCAUACGAGAGCGCACAUCAGAUUUGACGGGUUGCCAAAAAUAUCGAUAACGACAAAACUUUGAUAAGAUCGAUAACAUGUAUUAUUUGUUUUGUAUGAUAUUUUGAUAAAUUUUGUCGAGCUUAAUUGAUUGGUAAACCAAAUUUGCCUCGCUAUGGACAGGCAAUAUAAACUU